ensembl:lncRNA
GUCAACUUGUUUCUAAAGUCAGCGUUAAUAACGUCAGAGCGGGGUGUGAAUUAGGCAGCGAUUAACAAAUGCAGCGCGACGCUGUGGGAUUCCAUGUUUGCAACUUCAUUUAUUUAUUUGUUUGCUUAUUUAUUCGGGAACCUGUCUUUGAUCGUAUUGUUGAGUGCCAAAGCUAUAUUUAAAGAAUGUGAGAUGAUGAUGAUGAUAAAUUAGAGAAUGUGAUGCUGUUUUGCUGUAUGCCACUACAAAUAAAAAAUGUUUUUAAAAAAAAGGACAAAACGGUUUUGCUCUUUUAUGAUUAUUUAUUUAUAUUAUUUGGGUUCAUAUUUCAAAUAUAUUUGCCUCUAAAAUAGUUCAGUACAUGACAGAGAAUAUACAACGGCCAGCACGACAAGCUUUCCUUGCACUUGUGCACCGGUACAUCUGAAGAAAGAAAAAAAAAAAAAAAGACAAUAACAAAAAGAAAAUAACAUUCUCACUCAGGCUCUUACAUACACUCUGACGAAUUCAAUAUAAGGACAUAUGGUACAACCAUGAUUGCUUCAUCUUCAUGUGUGUCAGGAACCGUGAAGUUUCACCACAGGAUUCCACCGGGUUUUUUCUUUCUAUUUUUUUCUUCUUUAAUGGAUGACGCAACGGACAAGGUCGUGAUCAGACGGUGUUUUUCAGCACUCAAGGUACAAAAAUGAACGGACGUGAAUGUUCUGACAAAGGACGACCUUGGUACGUUAAUUUAAAACGUGUUUUAGCAUGUUUCGCUAAUUCAUGACAAACUGUGGCUUUUUUUUUCCUUUCAGGGUUUCUACACCAGGACACGAUGAACGGAAGAGAAUGAAACGGAUACGGCAUACUCCUGAAGCGGUAACGUUGUGUUUCGAAUACACACUCACUGUCCACUUUAUUAAGAACAUUUGCACGUUCGUGCGAUCAUCACCACCACGUUUCAGCAGUGCAGUGCGCAAAAUCGUCCCGAUAACAGAUCAUGAGCGUCACUUGAUGUUCACGUGACCUUGAUCGUGACCUGCUGCUUCGUGUAUUUCAGAUACUGCUAAUUUUUUAUGGGUGGAAAUGCCUUGUUGAUAGGAAAGCUCAGAGGAGAACGGCCGGACUUGUUCGAGCUGACGGGAAGGCUACGGUAACUCAAAUAACCACUCUUUACAAACGUGUUGAGCAGAAAAGCAUCCUAACCUGUCAAAAAUUGCAGCAGGUGAGCUACACUAGCAAAAGACCAAAUCGGGUUCCACCCCAGUCAGCUAAAAACAGGACUCUAAGACUACACUGGGCAUCCAGUCUAGAAGAACGUGGGGAAAAAAGUACCACGCAACGUUUGAUCCGAAUAUUAACUGAAACUCGACGCGAUAUCUGCAUGAUUUUAUGCAUCGCACUGCUGUGACGUAAUCGCCUGAUGUACGGCCAAUACGUCCAAGCGCUCCUAAUAUAGCGGACGGUGACUGUAUUACGCGUACGUCUGUCGUUCAGUGUGUUCACAAAGUAACGUACGCCGACGUCUUUUCAACACGUAGAACAUUAAAUCUGCACAUGCUCACAACAGUCCCGAUGCCAAGACGCAGGUCUGCAACACUGCAUAUGUCUGUUUAAUAACCUAACUAACUCAACAUUGCAGUCAGUACGUGGAUCAUAAGAAGAAACAGCUCGGAAGUAGAAGCCGUAAAGCCACCGAGUCACCUGAAGGAAGUUUGUCAGUGCUGAUUUUCUGAGUUCUCUGGAGGGGGCACAUAUUUAAGGUCGUUUUCUGGUUGCGCGCAUGCAUUUCUGUUCAUCGUCCGACCCAAACUCGUUCUCCGUAGUUCAUCUAAAGGCCAUUCGGGGCAAAUGAGCGCGCAUUUAUCUGAGCCCCAUUUACUCAUUUAACUCCAAGCAAUGAAAUUGACCUCCCGUAACGACGAGACACAUUCUAACGGGAGGGGAAGAAACACCGUGCGAACCAGAAGUGGAGAAAAAGAGAGAGAAAAGUGCCAUUAGCUAUGAACCAAGGACAAGACAUACACUCUCCAACCCACUUAGGCAAAUCUUUACAAUUGUGCGUAACGAUCAUUUCCAUCCCUACUAUUGAAACGCGCCAGUCUCGUAGUUAACCCGUCUCUACAUUUCUUUCUCACACAUGCACACGCCGUGGCAGGUGACGUUGACCUUCGCGUGACAUGCAAUCCUCGCACAUGCACACGGUCUCUCAGUCGCAGCAUGGUGAUAUUGAUAUUAAUAAACCGAUUUGAGCGGAACGUCGACGGGAAUAACGGAUCAAAAAAGGAUUCGUGAAUGUAUCCCUUCACCUUAAAACGCGUUAUAUGUGCAAUCUGAACUCUCUGUGCUAGCCUAAUAUCUACUGAGGUACAUGAAAUGUCUAGAUGAUGCUUGGUAUAGACUUCACGUGAAGCAAUUGAUAUUUGGAAUGCAUGUAAAAUGAGGCAACAUUGAGAAAAAUAUACGAGUAAACGAGUAAGCAGUAUAAUGACCCUUAGCACGGUGGGUCAAGGGGGUGGAGCUGAAAGGGAACAGGCAUGUCAUGGAAACAUUCAUUUUUCCAAAAUUUUCCACUGCACCAAUGCGGCGCGCACACACAAAAAAAACAAAAAAAAACCAAGCAAUGUAGUUUCUGUUUUUUGUUCACAGAUAACUUUUCAUUUAGUACAAACAUUUCAAGUUGAAUUUCUGUAUUAACUAGAUAUUAGUUAUGCAGGCAAUAAUGAACUCUGUUUUUUUUUCCUCCCCCCCAUUGGCUUGAUACACAAUGCUGACAUGUGACAAGAACGCUAUCCAAGUUUAUUUAAGGGGAAAACGUGUCCGAAAUUGGCUUCUUGGCUUCAUAAAUGUAAAGAUAGAUCUUUAAAUUAUUACAUAAUUACAUUAACAGUUCAAUUUUGGGCUGCUACAUAAUUGUUAUCGUUACUUCUAGCUACUGUGAAAAUCAAACCAGUACACUGGCUCAACAUACUAACCCGACCUCACUGCGUUCAAGCAACCCAUGCUGGGUUUGUCCAUAUUGGACCCAGCACUGGGUUUCCAAAUCAACCCAUUUAAAAAUAAUAAUAAUAAUAAUACAAAUUUUAUUUUAAAGAGUAAAUAAUUAAUAUUCCCUUUCCAUCGUUUCCUUUUUCGAGUCUAAUUAUUCUGUUCUGGAAGCAUUUUAUUUAUGAUGAUAAAUGGCUGGUCAAGCCAAGUGCACGUGUUAGCAUGAAUGGUAACACACAGGCCUAAAAACUAUGUAACGUACAGGUACAGUCGACUGGACCAGAAGCGAAAGAGAAAUCUAAAAGGCUCUGCUCUUGGUACGUACUUUUUAAAUAAAAUUAAAAAUUAAAAAAAGACCUGAGAUGCAAGUCAACACCUUUACCGGAAUGUAGCAGAUCUGAGCGAUAUAGCAUCUUAAGAUAAAUAUGCACUGGUUAAAUAUGAAUGUGAGCAAAUUUUACAAGCAGGGCUCAAGAAUGAGGCAAACCACGACGUGACUUCAGAAAACUAAUCUCACACUAAAAGCUCAGUGAUUAGACAUUGCAUAUUGAACAUAUAAUAUGGCAGAGCAUAUGAGCAUGAAUAAUACCGGGUCAAAACCAAAUUUAUAUAUGAUUGUUUCAUAGCAUCUAAAAUGUUAUGAUGACCAGGUCGCCUAUAAUGUGUAUACUCUGACAGAGGCACACAUGGUUUCUUCCAUUAUCUGUGUGAUUCUCAUAUUUAUAUAUAUUUAUAUACGCUUGUGCUCCUUAAUAAAAGUCCACAAAAUCGGUCAUUCAUGGUCAUUUGUAGUAAUGAGUAAAUUGUGAGUAAAUGCCAUUCACAGAAGAGGACCUAAUUGAGAACCCUGAUGCACUCUCUGGGACCUUAGUCAAACGGUUCACAGUAAAAGUCGACUCUUCGAAAUGUACGAGUUGUCGGGAUAAGCGUAUGAUGCAUCUUGCUCGAAGCGUCGACUGUGAUGAUGGCACAUCUCACUAAAUAUGUGCUCAGCUUUGAAGAAUCAUUAUUAUGCUGUAUUGCUUCGUGUGAAAUGUGGAUGUCCGUUAUUUCUCGAUGAGCAGUCCAUUGAAAGAUGGUUUGCUUUGUGCCAAAACUAGAUGUCUCCUUGCUUGCUGGCAGCACGGUCCUGUUCCUCUUUCGAACGUCCAAGUCGGAACACGGCACUCGUUCGGAUGCACCUGCACUAUACAAAUCCUCUUCAGCAACUCGGCUUUUUCGCUAAAGGAUCAUCAGAAACGUGGGUGGAGCAUGCAGACCUUCUGGGAAGCCCGUCUUUGGAGUCCUUAUGGACCUCGUGCUCCUGCACUUGGGGAAAUCAGUCAGUCCUGAUGUCCGUUAGUGCGUCGCCGGUGAGCGCCGAUCGGCACACAGUUCAACAUGCGGUUUAACGUAUAGAUAAUACGGGUUGCCGUCGUGUCGGAGGAUGGUGGGGCGAGGGUAGACGUGUCCGAUAUAGGACUACCCUUUGACGUAAAGUUCAGCCACCAUUCUGUUCAGCAGCAAGGCAGGAAACGUCAUUUAUUGUAAGGGACAAGGCAUACAGCAAAUUUGUAGAUGGACAAAAAUACCACACGGGGAAACGAAAGUGAUUUAAAAAAAAAAAAAAAAAAAAAAAAAAAAAAAAAAGCAUAUAAAUUUGUGCUUCUUUAGUUUAACUUGAUCAUACUCUGAGUCAUGAUUAGUCUCAGAACUCGCAAUUAUUAUCCAUGUGUUGAUACUUAGGUAAUAUAUCAUAUACAUGUAACUGUACAGGUUCUCUUCCAUUCAUCCAAAUGGACAGCAUUUCAUUUGGCUGUCCUCAUUUUUCACCCUACAUUCUGCUGAUCCGUCCCGAGAAUUCACGUUUCUGUGCAGGACAGUCUUAAGGGAUGAGUGACACGUCGCUUUAAAGAGCAUUUCAGCCCGUGUUUGCCCCAACCUUCGCUUCAUCUGAAGAACCGCCAUCAUCUUUGGUAGCAUAAUUGACACUUUGGUGUGUCAGCAACACAGAGAGGGUGGAGAGGGAGGGUAGUCGGGGAUAAAUAAUAAAACAUACAUACAUACUGAUGCGGUGCAAAUAUAAAGAAUAUCAUGAACGUGGAUUCGACUAGUCAUAGCGAAAAGGUAUGGAGGUAUGGCAAGCCAUCGAGUUGAAUCAUGGUGUUCAAGUCAGAGACGGAAACAGAGAGCAGGUCUAGGGAGACGACGGCAAGCGCAAGGUCAGCGCAAGGUCAAGCCGAGCAUGGAGAAACGUGACCAGGAAAUGCAAGGAAAGUAAUGUGAAUGAUGGAAAAAUUAAAAGAAAAAAAAAAAAGACAGGAGAGGAGGGAGAAGGUAGGAAGGAACAUAUCUGGGCAGUGUUGGUUGAUGCCACAGGGGGGGCGGUGGGUGCGAGGGUAUGAACAGAUGUAUCAUCCAUCAUCUUGAGAAUAGCAGGACGUAGAGGCACAUGGAGCUAACGAGCAGCUCGGUCAGUGUAGCAGGCUGAAGGCGUCGGGCUGUUCCUGGAAGCACG